rnacentral:sRNA from 1 species
UUUUGAAUUUAAAAAUUACCGUGCAAAAUUUAGACUAAAAAGUUAUAUACUCAAUUGUUUUUCAUAUUACUUUCUUAUGAAACUCAUAUAGUCAUGUGUAUUGAGUUCUUAAUUGUAAUGAUUUUAGAAAUUCUUUCUAAUACCUUUUUCACACUACCCCUUUUCAAUUCUACCAUUUUCUAUUUACCAUUUUCAUUUAUACGCUCUUUAAAUUUUUAAUGACCAUUUUACCCCUAUUUGUAAAUUAAUUUAGGUUAACAAAAU